UAGAGACCGGCGCACGGGUGCGUAACGCGUAUGCAAUCUACCUUUCACAGAGGGAUAGCCCAGAGAAAUUUGGAUUAAUACCUCAUAGUAUAAUACCUUGGCAUCAAGGAAUUAUUAAAGUCACAACGGUGAAAGAUGAGCAUGCGUCCCAUUAGCUAGUUGGUAUGGUAACGGCAUACCAAGGCUACGAUGGGUAGGGGUCCUGAGAGGGAGAUCCCCCACACUGGUACUGAGACACGGACCAGACUCC
rnacentral:rRNA from 1 species